CACAGGUGGUAGGUGAGCCGCCGGCCAUCCAGCACAACAGAGCUGGUGCGGCCAGAGGUUGGAGGGCGGCGCCGAUCAGGAGGGAAGGGGGCGCCGGAGGAUGAUCUCAGCGGGGAGGGCCAGUUGCGUUCCAGAUGUCGGGCGCGUAGCCUCCAGCACCAUCGCUGGGCUGCGCAUCCUCGAUCUGGCGCUGGGUAGGAGGUUGGUAUCCAGAGAGGGGCGACGCGGUGGGGCUCUACGGAGAAGAAGGAUGGGUGGCGUCGAUGGGGGUAGGUGUGGGUGGAAGGCCGGUCGGUGGAGGGUGCCCGGCCGGCGCGGCGCGGUGCUGGUGGCUACCGGCGACGGCAGUAGAAGGUAAUGAGAACUGGGGUUGGUCUGGUGCGAGGCUGAGGGGUGGCGCAGGGAGGGAGGUUGUGCGGUGGAGGCAUUGGGGGAGGGAGGUGGUUCAGUGGGGAAGGAGAUGGGGAGACGAAGGAGGGAGGAGGUGGGUGGUGGGCACGAGUCUGGGAGCCUGGAGGACUGGGGGUGGGUUCAACGGCGACGCGCCCGCUGCCCCGUCCCCAACCAGCAGCGCCGUCGCCACCAACCCCCCAGCCAGAGAGGAGAAGCCGCCCCGACACCAACCGGAGACGCCGCCACGCCCCAACCGGAGCCGCUGCCGCCGCCACCUGCGCUCAUCCGCCUCUGCGCCCUGCAACGCCACGCGCCGCCGUCCUUUGCAAUCGCACGUUGUUCGCGAGAUGGAUCUCGCCUCUGCCAUCGCACGGCGCGGAUGCGGCCGGCCCGGCGUGCGGCGAUUCUUGGCUGCGUUGCCAGUCCCCGUGCACGGAUCUGAGCAGAGCCGACAAGAUCCGUAGACACCAUCGCUCAUGGGCAUCUGGUCACAGCGGCCGCCGUUGUGGCCAUUGCAGGAGCUGCUUAGGGCGACGUCCUCUGGCGCGCUGCCUCCUCUUCCCACCCUCCUUCGAGCCCCCACCGUGGUGAAGUCCUACUGCAGAAAUAUGCCAAGUCCUACUACAGCAGGUCUGCCAUGGUGAAGUUGAACCCUGAGCUCUGAGGCCGGCGCCUAGCCAAACCCCCACGCCGGGCCUUGGGUCCAUAACACGGGGGGCGCUGCACCGCCAUUCAGCUGCAGCGCUGGAGCCUCCAUGGAAGGUCAGGUAAAUUUCUCGUGGCAGUAUAAACAAAAUAACAGCGACAAAUCAAUUCACUUCCUGAGUAUGAGGGUGAGUUCAGAGAUCAUGCUUCUACAGAGAAAAUGGAGUCAUGCAAGGUUCCCCUAAUCAUCCAGUCAACCAGCGAUGGUGUCCAUGACGGGCUGCAGUUAGGAAAAAGUGUUGAACCUAAAUAAUCUGCUAUGGAGGAGACAAUACUAAGAAAAAGUCGCUGGUCAGCACCUCUGCUCUCGAGAUGGCAGGUGACCUCGUUGAUGUCUAAAGCUAGUUCCACCCCCCUGUCCUAAAACUGAAUCCGUAGCAAAGCAUCAAUUCCUCCUGUAUUUGUUCUGUAAGUGAUUUUGAUUGAUGUAUGAAGUUCAGAUUUAUCUGCAGGUGCAAAACACUAGUGUUUU